AACGUAGGAGGCAAGCGUUAUCCGGAGUUACUGGGCGUAAAGCGCGUGUAGGCGGCUCGGUAAGUGGGUCGUGAAAGCGCCCGGCUAAACUGGGCGAGGACGAUCGAGACUGCCAGGCUAGAGGGUGGUAGAGGGACAGGGAAUUCCGGGUGUAGCGGUGAAAUGUGUAGAGAUCCGGAGGAACACCAGUGGCGAAGACGCUGUCCUGGGCCACCUCUGACGCUGAUACGCGAAGGCGUGGGGAGCGAACGGG
rnacentral:rRNA from 1 species